rnacentral:rRNA from 1 species
GAUGAACGCUGGCGACGUGCCUAAUACAUGCAAGUCGAGCGAACAGACGAGGAGCUUGCUCCUCUGACGUUAGCGGCGGACGGGUGAGUAACACGUGGAUAACCUACCUAUAAGACUGGGAUAACUUCGGGAAACCGGAGCUAAUACCGGAUAAUAUAUUGAACCGCAUGGUUCAAUAGUGAAAGACGGUUUUGCUGUCACUUAUAGAUGGAUCCGCGCCGUAUUAGCUAGUUGGUAAGGUAACGGCUUACCAAGGCGACGAUGCGUAGCCGACCUGAGAGGGUGAUCGGCCACACUGGAACUGAGACACGGUCCAGACUCCUACGGGAGGCAGCAGUAGGGAAUCUUCCGCAAUGGGCGAAAGCUUGACGGAGCAACGCCGCGUGAGUGAUGAAGGUCUUCGGAUCGUAAAACUCUGUUAUUAGGGAAGAACAAAUGUGUAAGUAACUAUGCACGUCUUGACGGUACCUAAUCAGAAAGCCACGGCUAACUACGUG